rnacentral:lncRNA from 1 species
GUUAUCUUACAGAGACCUCUCUUCAUUCUGAUGUGGAGGAUCGGCCCCUGUGAUUCAGAGGGUCGUAGAUGGGCUCCCUGGGCCCAGUGUGCCUUGGUUGUGGCCAUUCUGCCUCCACCCCAACCCUCACACAGUUGUGGGGUUCAGCACAGGGAAAACCCAGAGACCAUGCCCAGCCAAGUCUCCAGUCUCUGGCUGUUGUCAUAUGGCUCCCAUGUGGAUCUUGGGCACCCCUUUCUAACUACCUAUGUCAGCUGUGAGAGGCUAAUGGCAUAUGGUGGCUUCUGGUGGCACAGUAGGUGCUGAGUUAGGCUGUGGCAUUGUUGUUGCCCAGAGCAGGCACAGUGGGUGGGGAUGGUCCCUGCCCUA